rnacentral:rRNA from 1 species
CUAAAAACAUAGCCUUAUUCUUUCUAAUGUAAAACCUUUUUUAUAAAAUUUAAUUAAAACAUUUUUUAAGCUUAGUAAAGGAGAUUAAAAAGUUUUUAAGAGCUAUAAUAAUAGUACCGCAAGGGAUUUGUGAAAUAAAAAUGAAACAAAAAAAAGCAAUAAAAAGUAAAGCUUCACCCUUGUACCUUUUGCAUCAUGGUUCAACUAGUCUAAUCAAGCAUAAAGAAUUAAAGUUUGACCUCCCGAAACUAAGUGAGCUACUUCAGGGCAGCUUAAUGAGCCAACCCGUCUCUGUUGCAAAAGAGUGGGAUGACCUUCAAGUAGAGGUGAUAGACCUAACGAACUUAGUGAUAGCUGGUUAUUCAGGAAAAGAAUAUUAGUUCAACUUAAAAUUACAUAAAUUAUUAAAAAUAAACCUAUAAUUUUAAAGCAAUUCAAACAAGGUACAGCCUGUUUGAACUAGGAUACAACCUCUUCUAAUGGGUAAUUUAAUAUUAAAUAUAAUUAAGUAGGCCUAAAAGCAGCCACCUUUAAAAUAGCGUCAAAGCUUAUUUAUAUAUACUUAUCAAUAACACUAUUUUUUAUUAACCCUUUUUUACUACUGAAUAAUUUUAUAACACUAUAAAAAUUUUUAUGUUGAAACUAGUAACAAGAAGAUAAACUUCUCUUUAAUGUAAGUAUAACUCGGAUAGGAUUAACCACCGACAAUUAACACCCCAGAACCUAAAAUAGUAACUCCUCAUGAAAAUUCUAUUAUAUUUAACGUUAAUCUUACACUAGAACAUUAAAAGAAAGAUUUAAGAAAAAGGAAGGAACUCGGCAAAUAUUAACCUCGCCUGUUUACCAAAAACAUCGCCUUCUGCUUUACAAUAGAAGGUCCAGCCUGCCCAGUGAAUUUAUUCAACGGCCGCGGUAUCCUAACCGUGCGAAGGUAGCGUAAUCACUUGUUCUUUAAAUGAGGACUAGUAUGAAUGGCAUCACGAGGGUUAUACUGUCUCCCUUUUUUAAUCAGUUAAACUAAUCUCCCCGUGAAGAAGCGAGGAUAAACAUAUAAGACGAGAAGACCCUAUGGAGCUUUAAAUUAAACAACAAUUGUUAUAUUUUUAUAAUUUUAAGAAUAAUUCUACAUUUAAACAUUUUGAUUGCUAAUUUUUGGUUGGGGUGACCGCGGAGAAUAAAAUAACCUCCACAAUAAAAGAAGCUCUCCUUCUGAACUAAGAACUACAAUUCUAAGUACUAAUAAUUUAAUAUUCUUUGACCCAAUUUAUUGAUCAACGAACAAAGUUACCCUAGGGAUAACAGCGCAAUCCACUUCAAGAGCUCCUAUCGACAAGUGGGUUUACGACCUCGAUGUUGGAUCAGGGUAUCCUGGUGGUGUAGCCGCUACUAAUGGUUCGUUGUCAACGAUAAAACC